rnacentral:lncRNA from 1 species
UGUUUAUUGUUGUAUAAAGUUACCUUAAAUGUGAAAUUAAAACCGCCAGUAGGUGGCAGCGUUCAUAAGUGAGUCAUUGCAAUUGAACCGAAUCAUUUAAACGGUUGAUUCAUUCAGGAACGAAACACUAUCACUUGUUGCUCAGAGAUGCAAAACAGUGGCUGUGUUUGGAAUGAUUUUGGUUUUUAGAAAUAGAGCAGGGAAUAUGUUGUCUAAAACACAAGUCUCUUAAUAUUAACUUCAUGUUUAUUGUUGUAUAAAAUCAGUAUCACAUUUAUGCUGACGCUGCCAUUUGAAUUCUGAGCAGAGUGAACAGCGCGAUUAUCUUCGUUAUCGUUUUAUUGCCCAGCCCUAAUUCAACACUGUAAAAACUUUUAGAUUGGCAGAAAAGUUAACCGAGAACAUACAUCCACCAUGUCUUUACUAUAAGUAAUUAUUGUGUGGCAUACAUAGCCUACCUCUCAAAAACGGGCAGGUGCUCUCAAGUGAUCGAAUCAGUGCUGCUUUUUGCCCUGUGCAGUCAACGACGGGACGGGGAAGGGCAGCUACUUUGGUGGCGCCAAUCUGCAGUCUUUUUUGGUGGCUGCAGCGAGUGCUGCGUUUUUUUUUUUUUUUUGUUUCAUCCUAGGGGUGACCAGAGUUUAUACAGUGGUGGCCGUGGCUGUAGACUGUUGAAACACUGAUUGAAUUGCGUUGUGUGGACUUCGAGCACAAAGACAUCUGCUCAAUAGACUGUGAUUGAAAUGGCAUGAUAAAUAAAUUAAGAAAGAAGUUUUAUUUUUGAGUGAACUUUCCCCUUCUAAGUGCUCUCGACUGAAAUGGUCACCUUUAAUUAUGAAAAUAGAGCAUGUGGGUGUGUAGUAAACAGGUUUACAGGGAUAUUUAAGAGCAGAUGUCAGAGCUGUGCUGCGACGACAAUGAUGAAGAUGAUCAUUUUACAGCAUCUGCUUUUUCUCUGGAUUGUACCGUUAACACUUUUGCUCUUGUGUCCUGAUUUCUUGAUACCUUUCCCUUUCCAAUCUCAUUAGACUUCAGUGCAUGAAGUGAUGUCACUGGGUUACAAGCUAUCUUAGCUUCUCGUGUUAGAAACUUUACAAACCGACUGAAGGUAGGAAAUGUCUUAGUUUCUUCUUCAAUUUCUAUGACCUGACGAUUCCAUGCUGAGGCUAGCCAAUCAGGAAGCUUGGAAAGGAUUUUCUGGUUCUCAUUACAAUCAUUGAGGACUUCAAGACCCUUAAUCUGAGACAUAGCUGCUUCACAGCCUCUGAGGAAGUCAGUAAAUUCUCUCAGCUCAACACUGUCCUUGGAACCAAUCUUUGGCCAUGAAUUAAGCUUGUCUCGAAAGGCUUUAGCAAUGACGAAUGGGUUUCCAUACCUUUCUUCUAGUAUGCCCCAUGCUGCUUGAUAUGCUGACUCUGUGCCUAGCAGGAAGUAACUUUCAAUGGCCUUCUUAGCUGGUCCUUCCACAUACUUGCGUAAGUAGUAAAGCUUCUCAUUCACUGGUAUGUUUUUUCUGUCGAUCAGAGUUUGAAAUGAGAUUUUCCAAUCACUAAAUCUGAGAGAGUCUCCAUAGAAUGUUGCAGGUUCAGGUAUAGGAAGACGACUUGAGCUGAUAGAUUCUGCUAACACCUUAACAAGGUC